rnacentral:rRNA from 1 species
GAUAAACGCUGGCGGCGUGCCUAAUACAUGCAAGUCGAGCGAACGGACGAGAAGCUUGCUUCUCUGAUGUUAGCGGCGGACGGGUGAGUAACACGUGGAUAACCUACCUAUAAGACUGGGAUAACUUCGGGAAACCGGAGCUAAUACCGGAUAAUAUUUUGAACCGCAUGGUUCAAAAGUGAAAGACGGUCUUGCUGUCACUUAUAGAUGGAUCCGCGCUGCAUUAGCUAGUUGGUAAGGUAACGGCUUACCAAGGCAACGAUGCAUAGCCGACCUGAGAGGGUGAUCGGCCACACUGGAACUGAGACACGGUCCAGACCCCUACGGGAGGCAGCAGUAGGGAAUCUUCCGCAAUGGGCGAAAGCCUGACGGAGCAACGCCGCGUGAGUGAUGAAGGUCUUCGGAUCGUAAAACUCUGUUAUUAGGGAAGAACAUAUGUGUAAGUAACUGUGCACAUCUUGACGGUACCUAAUCAGAAAGCCACGGCUAACUACGUGCCAGCAGCCGCGGUAAUACGUAGGUGGCAAGCGUUAUCCGGAAUUAUUGGGCGUAAAGCGCGCGUAGGCGGUUUUUUAAGUCUGAUGUGAAAGCCCACGGCUCAACCGUGGAGGGUCAUUGGAAACUGGAAAACUUGAGUGCAGAAGAGGAAAGUGGAAUUCCAUGUGUAGCGGUGAAAUGCGCAGAGAUAUGGAGGAACACCAGUGGCGAAGGCGACUUUCUGGUCUGUAACUGACGCUGAUGUGCGAAAGCGUGGGGAUCAAACAGGAUUAGAUACCCUGGUAGUCCACGCCGUAAACGAUGAGUGCUAAGUGUUAGGGGGUUUCCGCCCCUUAGUGCUGCAGCUAACGCAUUAAGCACUCCGCCUGGGGAGUACGACCGCAAGGUUGAAACUCAAAGGAAUUGACGGGGACCCGCACAAGCGGUGGAGCAUGUGGUUUAAUUCGAAGCAACGCGAAGAACCUUACCAAAUCUUGACAUCCUUUGACAACUCUAGAGAUAGAGCCUUCCCCUUCGGGGGACAAAGUGACAGGUGGUGCAUGGUUGUCGUCAGCUCGUGUCGUGAGAUGUUGGGUUAAGUCCCGCAACGAGCGCAACCCUUAAGCUUAGUUGCCAUCAUUAAGUUGGGCACUCUAAGUUGACUGCCGGUGACAAACCGGAGGAAGGUGGGGAUGACGUCAAAUCAUCAUGCCCCUUAUGAUUUGGGCUACACACGUGCUACAAUGGACAAUACAAAGGGCAGCGAAACCGCGAGGUCAAGCAAAUCCCAUAAAGUUGUUCUCAGUUCGGAUUGUAGUCUGCAACUCGACUACAUGAAGCUGGAAUCGCUAGUAAUCGUAGAUCAGCAUGCUACGGUGAAUACGUUCCCGGGUCU